GUAUAACAAUAUAAUAAAAUUUAUUGCAAUGUAAUGUAAUUUUUGUCUAUAUAAGUAUUUUUUACCCUUUAUCCAUCCUUUAGUCAAGGUUAUAAGUUUAUCCGUGUAAAAGAUAUGACAAGUUUGUCAUAAGCUUAUAUGCUAUCUAGGAUGGGUAUUACAUUUUGCUACCAUUUUUUUUUAUCUGCCAGUCUUAAAUUGUCUACCUAACCAGCCCAGAUACCUGAAGGAUUAAAUUAAAAAGGCUUUUGGUAACUUCAAAUACAACGAAACACCCUGCAGAUUUAAUUUUGUUUUAACUCACUGUUUACACGAAAAUCUUUUACAGUAUCCACAAGUCGACAAUGGGGGCCUUUGCGUGAGCGGGCAGACUGUACACCAACUCAAACAGAGACUCCGGGGAUACACGCCCAGGAGAAAAGUUUGCCUGCUCAUUGGUACCAACGACCUAUUACAGCUCUCCAAGGCGACAGUGCCACUGGCAAAGGCGUUAAGAAAACUUUUAAAGAAGUUGAAAAUCAUCCUAAACUAUUUAACCAGGAAGUGCGAAAAAGUGGCUUUAUGUACAAUUCCAUCAAUUCCCGCUCUGGAAUUUAGUAGACCGCUUGAGCGGGAGCGCUACCACCACUGCAGGGACUUUUUUGAACAAUAACAUAGCCAGCGAAGCAGUGUUGCCUCCCAUCGAAUAGGAGACAUUUCUGGGGUAGGACCUUACUCAUCUUCAAAACAUGCAUCCAAGUGUUUCACUGAGGGACUAAGAAGAGAACUCGCCAGUCAAAAGUCCAAGAUAAAAGUCACUAGCAUAAGCCCUGGGGUGGUGGAUACUGAGAUUUUUGAAGCCAAC